UCAGCUCGUGUCGUGAGAUGUUGGGUUAAGUCCCGCAACGAGCGCAACCCUUGUCAUUAGUUGCUACGCAAGAGCACUCUAAUGAGACUGCCGGUGACAAACCGGAGGAAGGUGGGGAUGACGUCAAGUCCUCAUGGCCCUUAUGGGUAGGGCUUCACACGUCAUACAAUGGUCGGGACAGAGGGUCGCCAACCCGCGAGGGGGAGCCAAUCUCAGAAACCCGAUCGUAGUCCGGAUCGCAGUCUGCAACUCGACUGCGUGAAGUCGGAAUCGCUAGUAAUCGCGGAUCAGAAUGUCGCGGUGAAUACGUUCCCGGGUCUUGUACACACCGCCCGUCACACCAUGGGAGUGGGUUUCACCAGAAGUAGGUAGCCUAACCGUAAGGAGGGCGCUUACCACGGUGGGAUUCAUGAC
rnacentral:rRNA from 1 species